rnacentral:rRNA from 1 species
UAAAGCACUUUUGUCCGGAAAGAAUCCUUGAUCCUAAUAUUCGGGGGAUGACGGUACCGGAAGAAUAAAAAAAAAAAAACUACGUGCCAGCAGCCGCGGUAAUACGUAGGGUGCAAGCGUUAAUCGGAAUUACUGGGCGUAAAGCGUGCGCAGGCGGUGAUGUAAGACCGAUGUGAAAUCCCCGGGUUCAACCUGGGAACUGCAUUGGUGACUGCAUCGCUUGAGUAUGGCAGAGGGGGGUAGAAUUCCACGUGUAGCAGUGAAAUGCGUAGAGAUGUGGAGGAAUACCGAUGGCGAAGGCAGCCCCCUGGGUCAAUACUGACGUCAUGCACGAAAGCGUGGGGAGCAAACAGGAUUAGAUACCCUGGUAGUCCACGCCCUAAACGAUGUCAACUGGUUGUCGGGUCUUCAUUGACUUGGUAACGUAGCUAACGCGUGAAGUUGACCGCCUGGGGAGUACGGUCGCCAAGAUUAAAACUCAAAGGAAUUGACGGGGACCCGCACAAGCGGUUGGAUGAUGUGGAUUAAAUUCGAUGCAACGCGAAAAACCUUACCUACCCUUGACAUGUACGGAAGUCCGCUGAGAGGUGGAUGUGCCCGAAAGGGAGCCGUAACACAGGUGCUGCAUGGCUGUCGUCAGCUCGUGUCGGGAGUUGGGUUAAGUCCCGCAACGAGCGCAACCCUUGUCCCUAGUUGCUACGCAAGAGCACUCCAGGGAGACUGCCGGUGACAAACCGGAGGAAGGUGGGGAUGACGUCAAGUCCUCAUGGCCCUUAUGGGUAGGGCUUCACACGUCAUACAAUGGUCGGAACAGAGGGUUGCCAAGCCGCGAGGUGGAGCCAAUCCCAGAAAACCGAUCGUAGUCCGGAUCGCA